ensembl:lncRNA
AUUCACUGUCAUGUUCCAGACAAUGUUAAAGUGCAUCAGUGUUAUUUCUACCCAGAGAGAGACAACACAAAUCUAAAACUCUCUCCAUCAUGUCAGCUCUCAGUCACUGGUUCUGAACUGAUCAGGUGGACAGGACGAAGUUCUCCUGGAACACUUCAUAUUACUUGUUUCUACACUGUGGAUAACUCUGUUCGUAUUCCUUCUCCUCACUCUCUCCCAGCUCCAGUCACAGUGCUGAAUGAGAAACCGAGACUAAGCGUCAGUCAUGAUGGUCAGUUUGAUAAAUUCAGAUUUGUGUGUGAAAUAUCAGGGUCAGAGUCAGUAACUGCUAAUUUUAGCUGUAAUCUCUACACUGGAGAAAAUCCUCAGCUUUUCCUAAACCGAACAUCUCAAAAGGGAAACUCUGGGAAGGUUUGUAGAUUUAAAGCACAGAGAGACGCUGUGUUUAAUCUUCUGCAGUCAGUAAAGAGUCGUGAAGUGAGCUGUGAUUAUUCACUGAUCUCUGACCCGACUGCUCGCUCUCUAAUGAGUGAUAAAUACAACAUGAUGCAUUUCUUUACACCAACAUUAUCAUCAACAACAACAACAACAGCAACAACAAUAAUAACAACAAUAACGAGUGAUAAAUACAACAUGACACGUUUCUUUCCUACACCAACACAGCCGUCCAUCACUACUGAGAAAUCCACUGCAUAUGUUCCUCAGCCCCGGCUGUCCGUGUCUCCUGAAGUUCUCACAGAGAGAGGAUCAGUGCAGAUUCACUGUCAUGUUCCAGACAAUGUUAAAGUGCGUCAGUGUUAUUUCUACCCAGAGAGAGACAACACAAAUCUAAAACUCUCUCCAUCAUGUCAGCUCUCAGUCACUGGUUCUGAACUGAUCAGGUGGACAGGACGAAGUUCUCCUGGAACACUUCAUAUUACUUGUUUCUACACUGUGGAUAACUCUGUUCGUACUCCUUCUCCUCACUCUCUCCCAGCUCCAGUCACAGUGCUGAAUCAGAAACCGAGACUAAGCGUCAGUCAUGAUGAUCAGUUUGAUGUAUUCAGAUUUGUGUGUGAAAUAUCAGGGUCAGAGUCAGUAACUGCUGAUUUUAGCUGUAAUCUCUACACUGGAGAAAAUCCUCAGCCUUAUGUAAAGACAGGAUCUCAGAAGGCAGUUUGUAGAUUUACAGCAAAGAAAAAUGAUCUGUUUAAUCGUCUGCAGUCAGUAAAGAGUCGUG